rnacentral:tRNA from 1 species
GGAGAACUCGCCUAGUGGUCGAUGGCGCACGCUUGGAGAGCGUGUAGGGUGCAAGCCCUCGCGGGUUCGAAUCCCGCAUUCUCCG